AUUGAACGCUGGCGGCAUGCCUUACACAUGCAAGUCGGACGGCAGCACGGGUGCUUGCACCUGGUGGCGAGUGGCGAACGGGUGAGUAAUACAUCGGAACGUACCUUAUCGUGGGGGAUGACGCAGCGAAAGCUGUGCUAAUACCGCAUACGCCCUGAGGGGGAAAGCGGGGGAUCGAAAGACCUCGCGCGAUUAGAGCGGCCGAUGCCUGAUUAGCUUGUUGGUGGGGUAAAAGCCCACCAAGGCGACGAUCAGUAGCUGGUCUGAGAGGACGAUCAGCCACACUGGGACUGAGACACGGCCCAGACUCCUACGGGAGGCAGCAGUGGGGAAUUUUGGACAAUGGGGGCAACCCUGAUCCAGCAAUGCCGCGUGAGUGAAGAAGGCCUUCGGGUUGUAAAGCUCUUUUGUCAGGGAAGAAACACCGGCUCUAACACAGUCCGGGAAUGACGGUACCUGAAGAAUAAGCACCGGCUAACUACGUGCCAGCAGCCGCAGUAA
rnacentral:rRNA from 1 species